GACGAACGCUGGCGGCGUGCCUAAUACAUGCAAGUCGAACGCUUCUUUCCUCCCGAGUGCUUGCACUCCAUUGGAAAGAGGAGUGGCGGACGGGUGAGUAACACGUGGGUAACCUACCCAUCAGAGGGGGAUAACACUUGGAAACAGGUGCUAAUACCGCAUAACAGUUUAUGCCGCAUGGCAUAAGAGUGAAAGGCGCUUUCGGGUGUCGCUGAUGGAUGGACCCGCGGUGCAUUAGCUAGUUGGUGAGGUAACGGCUCACCAAGGCCACGAUGCAUAGCCGACCUGAGAGGGUGAUCGGCCACACUGGGACUGAGACACGGCCCAGACUCCUACGGGAGGCAGCAGUAGGAAAUCUUCGGCAAUGGACGAAAGUCUGACCGAGCAACGCCGCGUGAGUGAAGAAGGUUUUCGGAUCGUAAAACUCCGUUGUUAGAGAAGAACAAGGACGUUAGUAACUGAACGUCCCCUGACGGUAUCUAACCAGAAAGCCACGGCUAACUACGUG
rnacentral:rRNA from 1 species